rnacentral:rRNA from 1 species
GACGAACGCUGGCGGCGUGCUUAACACAUGCAAGUCGAACGGUAAGGCCCUUCGGGGUACACGAGUGGCGAACGGGUGAGUAACACGUGGGUGAUCUGCCCUGCACUUCGGGAUAAGCCUGGGAAACUGGGUCUAAUACCGGAUAGGACCACUGCCUGCAUGGGUGGUGGUGGAAAGCUUUUGCGGUGUGGGAUGGGCCCGCGGCCUAUCAGCUUGUUGGUGGGGUGAUGGCCUACCAAGGCGACGACGGGUAGCCGGCCUGAGAGGGUGACCGGCCACACUGGGACUGAGAUACGGCCCAGACUCCGACGGGAGGCAGCAGUGGGGAAUAUUGCACAAUGGGCGCAAGCCUGAUGCAGCGACGCCGCGUGAGGGAUGACGGCCUUCGGGUUGUAAACCUCUUUCAGCCCCGACGAAGCGCAAGUGACGGUAGGUGCAGAAGAAGGACCGGCCAACUACGUGCCAGCAGCCGCCGUAAUAC